rnacentral:lncRNA from 1 species
CGCACACCUGUAGUCCCAGCUAACUGGGAGUUUAAGGUGAGAGGCUUGCUUGAGCUUGGGAGGUCGAGACUGCAGUGAGCUGUGAUUGCGCCACUGCACUCUAGCAUGGAGAACAGACUGAGACCCUGUCUCAAAAAAAUAAAACAAAACAAAACAAACAAACAAACAAACAAACACACACAAAACCACACACAGAAAAAAAAGAAAAUCCUAGAGGAAUGGAUCUAGGCCUCCCAUCACACCCAGCCAAAAGCUAAUGAAUCUCUGGAAGUCCAGUUAUGUAACCCAAAGGCAUACCCUUAAGUGAGUCAGUUGCAUUUCUGUUAUCUCAUUCAAUUUUACAGUAAGGAAACCAAGACUUCGAGAGUCAAUAACUCAAGAUACCUUAGCUAGUGAAGUUAAGAGCUGGAUUCCACUCCAAAUGAGUCUCAACCCAAAGCUUUCACUCAUCCUACUAAACUAAGCCAAAAACCCACUUGAAGCCAGGCGGGAGGGCUCACGCCUGUAAUCCCAGCACUUUGGGAGGCCGAGGCUGGCGGAUCACCUGAGGUCGGGAGUUCAAGACCAGCCUGGCCACUAUGGUGAAACUCCGUUUCUACUAAAAAUAAAAAAAAUAGCCGGGCAUCAUGGUGGGUGCCUGUAGUCCCAGCUACUCGAGAGGCUGAGGCAGGAUAAUCGUUUGAACCCGGGAGGCGGAAGUUGCAGUGAGCUGAGAUUGCACCAUUGCACUCCAGCCUGGGCGACAAAGCGAGACUCCGUCUCAAACAACAACAACAACAAACUACACUCUAGUCUGGGCGACAGAGCAAGACCCUGUCUUAAAAACAAACAAACAAACAAGGAAACCCCAUUUGUAACUGCCACUAAUUGGACUAUACUUCUGGUGGGCCAUCUUCAAGCUUCGGGCUUGAAUAAACCCUAU